ensembl:lncRNA
GUGCAAUAUUAUCUAUAAAACUCUAUCAGCACAGCAUCAAAUAAACAUUGAUUGUCCGAACAAUGGAAGAAAAAUAAAGUGUUCAGGAAAACAAACACCUGCUACAUAAAAAUGCAGAAAUAUAAAUCUGACAAUAACAUCAUUCGCUUCAUGACUGGAACUAGGGGAUGGCUGUGCAUGAAUAUGUCCUUUACUAAAACUCCUGAUGAGAACUGAUGCUUUUUUAUGAUAAAAGCACCAGAAGUAAAGUUUACUGUAUGAAGCUUGAAAAAGAGAACACAAUGCUUUAUCAAUACGAAAAUACUAUUUUCAACUAUUGUUUUCAUCACUGGUUCUGUAUACAGUAUAUGGGCUGCUGGAAGGUCAAAAUGUAUUCAUUAUAAGCUUAUAAUUAAAACAAAGUUGCAUUUUCUGCAAAAAUCAAACCACUGCAAAGUCUAAACACUGAUCCAGGGACCAUUUCUGUGUGUGUGGGGGAUAAAGAGUUAAAGAGGUGAGUCCUUGUGCAUGAUGGAGUACAGCGUUAUCUGCAAACAAUCCUGUAAGACAGAAAGGAAGGAAAUAUUAUUACAUUACAUGCAACUUUUUCUUUUAGACCAUAAAAGCAGCCUCUGUAAAGAUGCUGUAUAAUUAAAUGUUAAAUGCAUCUAUUAUUAAAAGCAAGUCAGUAAUAGCAAGCUAUAUUCAUACGAAGAAUUUUAAAUAUAAAUAUUUAAGAUAUAAACUGAUAUGAAUGAACUGCAAGAUGGGAAAAAAUAUGUGUCCUUUAUUUAUUUACUUUUUUUUAUUUACAUAAAAAGGUAUUAAAACAUGGUGCAGUAAAUGUGAUUACUGUGAUAUCUGUCAUAUAAAAGCACAUCAAAAACACUACCAUUACAGUUGUACAACCAUAGUUAGUUUGGUGAUUAUUGUGCUAUUACUAUACCAUAGUAAAACUACAGUUACUGUGGUAAAAACAUGGUAAAUGUCCCGUUCCUGGGUUUUAACUUCAAAUUUCAUUUGUUACUAUUGUACGUGUCGUGGUUACCAUGAUUUUACUACAAAUACAACUUACAUCUUUGAACCUGAUAUGAAUAUAAAACGGAUCGAAGGUCUAUGGCACGUCACGUGACAGAUAGAGUUUAAU